GACGAACGCUGGCGGCGUGCCUAAUACAUGCAAGUCGAGCGGACGAAUCGAAAGCUUGCUUUUGAUUCGUUAGCGGCGGACGGGUGAGUAACACGUGGGCAACCUGCCCUGUAGACGGGGAUAACACCGAGAAAUCGGUGCUAAUACCGGAUAACACGAAAUGUCGCAUGACGUUUCGUUGAAAGACGGCGCAAGCUGUCGCUACAGGAUGGGCCCGCGGCGCAUUAGCUAGUUGGUAAGGUAACGGCUCACCAAGGCGACGAUGCGUAGCCGACCUGAGAGGGUGAUCGGCCACACUGGAACUGAGACACGGCCCAGACUCCUACGGGAGGCAGCAGUAGGGAAUCUUCCGCAAUGGACGAAAGUCUGACGGAGCAACGCCGCGUGAGCGAAGAAGGCCUUCGGAUCGUAAAGCUCUGUUGUUAGGGAAGAACAAGUAACGCAGUAACUGGCGUUACCGUGACGGUACCUAACGAGAAAGCCACGGCUAACUACGUG
rnacentral:rRNA from 1 species